rnacentral:rRNA from 1 species
AUUGAACGCUGGCGGCAUGCCUAACACAUGCAAGUCGAGCGAGCGGCGGACGGGUGAGUAAUGUAUGGGGACUGCCCGAUAGAGGGGGAUAACUACUGGAAACGGUGGCUAAUCCCGCAUACUAUCGGAUAACCCAUAUGGGAUUAGCUAGUAGGUGGGGUAAAGGCUCACCUAGGCGACGAUCUCUAGCUGGUCUGAGAGGAUGAUCAGCCACACUGGGACUGAGACACGGCCCAGACGCCUACGGAGGCAGCAGUGGGGAAUAUUGGACAAUGGGCGAAAGCCUGAUGCAGCCAUGCCGCGUGUAUGAAGAAGGCCUUCGGGUUGUAAAGUACUUUCAGCAGGGAGGCGUUACCCGCAGAAGAAGCACCGGCUAACUCCGUGCCAGCCGCCGCGGUAAUUC